GCCACUCUAGACUGUGACACAUGGAGGCUCCCAAUGGUCAUGGUUCAAACUAUCCCAAACUAUCCUUGUCUAUCUGAUUCCAUUGGAAGAACUAUAGGACAGAGGGUAAAGUUUAGCUACAGGAAUUCAUUUGCAAUGUGAUAGAUCGAGUUUGUGUUUCAGGAGGUGUCAGUGGGACCAUGAUAAUGCAUCUCAAAUGAUAACAGACCAGCAGUGAAUAUGGGAGCAAAUGAAGAGGACAUGGAGCUGGGGAAAAAAAG